rnacentral:misc_RNA from 1 species
UAUAAACAUAGAAACGCUGUGGUGUACGACUUCACACUUAAGUGUUGACCGACUAUUUUUUGUAUUAUUAGGGAAACAAAAGUCUUCUAACAGCAUGUAGGCCGUCUCACACGGAAACAGCUUCAGUUAGAGCGAGUUGCCCACCUGCUUAAUUGCGCGGGUUCAAUACAAACCGUGAAGUUUCGGCACCAAUACAGCUUUUUUAUUUGCCUC